rnacentral:rRNA from 1 species
UCCCAGAGCUUAACUCUGGAACUGCCAUCAAAACUUUUCAGCUAGAGUAUGAUAGAGGAAAGCAGAAUUUCUAGUGUAGAGGUGAAAUUCGUAGAUAUUAGAAAGAAUACCAAUUGCGAAGGCAGCUUUCUGGAUCAUUACUGACACUGAGGAACGAAAGCAUGGGUAGCGAAGAGGAUUAGAUACCCUCGUAGUCCAUGCCGUAAACGAUGUGUGUUAGACGUUGGAAAUUUAUUUUCAGUGUCGCAGCGAAAGCGAUAAACACACCGCCUGGGGAGUACGACCGCAAGGUUAAAACUCAAAUGAAUUGACGGGGGCCCGCACAAGCGGUGGAGCAUGUGGUUUAAUUCGAUGCAACGCGAAGAACCUUACCUACACUUGACAUGCAGAGAACUUUCCAGAGAUGGAUUGGUGCCUUCGGGAACUCUGACACAGGUGCUGCAUGGCU